rnacentral:rRNA from 1 species
GGCGCAGCAGUCGCGAAACAUUUCACAAUGGGAGAAAAUGGCCGAAUGAGGGAAUUCAUAGUGCCAUUCACAUCUGUUAGCUUUUCUUUAGCGUAGAUAACUAGAGGAAUAAAGGCUGGGUAAGACCGGUGCCAGCCGCCGCGGUAAUACCGGCAGCCCAAGUGGUGGUCGAUUUUAUUGAGUCUAAAACGUUCGUAGCCGGUUUGAUAAAUCCUUGGGUAAAUCGGGAGGCUUAACUUUCCGAAUUCCGAGGAGACCGUCAGACUUGGGAUCGGGAGAGGUAAGAGGUACUUCCGGGGUAGGGGUUAAAUCUUGUAAUCCUUGGAGGACCACCGGUGGCGAAGGCGUCUAACUAGAACGAAUCCGACGGUGAGGGACGAAGCCUUGGGUCGCAAACGGGAUUAGAUACCCCGGUAGUCCUAGGUGUAAACGCUGCCGACUUGGUG